GUGCCUUCCAAAGGUGGGGCUGCAGACGCUGCCCCAAAAGGGCUGGACCCCGGUGAACGGGGGAAGGAUGGUGCCGUGGCUCGCUUGGUAUCCUAAGCGGCGGGAUGCGUUGCUGUUGGUGGAUGGGUUUUCGUCAGGGUUUUGGAUUCCUUUUGUCCCCUCGGCGGAGCCACGUUUUGCUAACAACUUGCGCUCGGUUCAGGGUAGGGAAGGGAUAUUACAGGAAAAACUGGACAAAGAGGUACGUUUGGGGAGGAUGGCGGGGCCGUUUGACCGCUCGCCGUUUGAGAAUCUGCGAGUGUCGUUGUUGGGUUUGGUCCCCAAGAAGGAGGAGGAGGCUUAUCGCAUGAUUCAUCAUCUAUCCUAUCCAGCAGGUGAGUCUGUUAACGACGGUAUGUAUCGUUUGACAGGGCUUUGGAAUUGGUCAGGGACGCCGGGGUGGGAUCCUGGUUGGCGAAGUCCGACAUUGAAUCGGCUUUCCGCUUGUUACCAGUCCACCCGGAGUGUCAUCACCUCCUCGGUUGCCAC